UACAGAGGCCUCGAGCGUUAGGCGGAAUCACUGGGCUUAAAGCGUGUGUAGGCGGACUUCUAAGUACCUUGUGAAAUCCCACGGCUCACCCGUGGAACUGCUUGGUAUACUGGUCGUCUUGAGCCUUCUAGGGGCGAGUGGAACAAGUGGUGGAGCGGUGAAAUGCGUAGAUAUCGGGAGGAACACCUGUGGCGAAAGCGGCGCACUGGACCACAACUGACGCUGAGGCGCGAAAGCUAGGGGAGCAAACAGG
rnacentral:rRNA from 1 species